rnacentral:rRNA from 1 species
CACGUAGUUAGCCGGCGCUUCUUCUGCAGGUACCGUCACUCUCGCUUCUUCCCUGCUGAAAGGGGUUUACAACCCGAGGGCCUUCAUCCCCCACGCGGCGUCGCUGCAUCAGGCUUGCGCCCAUUGUGCAAUAUUCCCCACUGCUGCCUCCCGUAGGAGUCUGGGCCGUAUCUCAGUCCCAGUGUGGCCGGUCGCCCUCUCAGGCCGGCUACCCGUCGUCGCCUUGGUGGGCCAUUACCCCACCAACAAGCUGAUAGGCCGCGAGUCCAUCCCCCACCGAUAAAUCUUUCCAGGCACACCCCAUGCGAAGGUGCCUCGUAUCCGGUAUUAGCCACGAUUUCCCGAGGUUAUCCCGAAGUGAGGGGCAGGUUACUCACGUGUUACUCACCCGUUCGCCACUGAUCCAGCAGAGCAAGCUCCACCUUCACCGUUCGACUUGCAUGUGUUAAGCACGCCGCCAGCGUCUCCUGUGCACGAGUCAACUAC